AGACGUUACCCGGGUAGUCCCAGCCGUAAACUAUGCUCGCUAGGUGUCAGGCAUGGCGCGACCGUGUCUGGUGCCGCGAGGGAAGCCGUGAAGCGAGCCCACCGUGGGAAGUACCGGCCGACAAGGCUAGUAAACUUAAAGGAAUUGGCGGGGAGCACAACAACGGGUGGAGCCUGCGGUUUAAUUGGACUCAACGCCGGACAACUCACCGGGAACGACAGCAAUAUGUAGGCCAGGCUGAAGACCUUGCCUGAAUCGCUG
rnacentral:rRNA from 1 species